rnacentral:rRNA from 1 species
AAUAGAUACCCAGGUAGUCCACGCCCUAAACGAUGUCAACUAGUUGUUCGGUGAGGAGACUCAUUGAGUAACGCAGCUAACGCGUGAAGUUGACCGCCUGGGGAGUACGGCCGCAAGGUUAAAACUCAAAGGAAUUGACGGGGACCCGCACAAGCGGUGGAUGAUGUGGAUUAAUUCGAUGCAACGCGAAAAACCUUACCUACCCUUGACAUGCCAGGAACUUGCCAGAGAUGGCUUGGUGCCCGAAAGGGAGCCUGGACACAGGUGCUGCAUGGCUGUCGUCAGCUCGUGUCGUGAGAUGUUGGGUUAAGUCCCGCAACGAGCGCAACCCUUGUCAUUAGUUGCCAUCAUUAAGUUGGGCACUCUAAUGAGACUGCCGGUGACAAACCGGAGGAAGGUGGGGAUGACGUCAAGUCCUCAUGGCCCUUAUGGGUAGGGCUUCACACGUCAUACAAUGGUCGGUACAGAGGGUUGCCAAGCCGCGAGGUGGAGCCAAUCCCAGAAAGCCGAUCGUAGUCCGGA